rnacentral:misc_RNA from 1 species
UCGUAACAAGGUUUCCGUAGGUGAACCUGCGGAAGGAUCAUUACCUAGAGUUUGUAGACUUCGGUCUGCUACCUCUUACCCAUGUCUUUUGAGUACCUUCGUUUCCUCGGCGGGUCCGCCCGCCGAUUGGACAACAUUCAAACCCUUUGCAGUUGCAAUCAGCGUCUGAAAAAACAUAAUAGUUACAACUUUCAACAACGGAUCUCUUGGUUCUGGCAUCGAUGAAGAACGCAGCGAAAUGCGAUAAGUAGUGUGAAUUGCAGAAUUCAGUGAAUCAUCGAAUCUUUGAACGCACAUUGCGCCCCUUGGUAUUCCAUGGGGCAUGCCUGUUCGAGCGUCAUUUGUACCUUCAAGCUCUGCUUGGUGUUGGGUGUUUGUCUCGCCUCUGCGUGUAGACUCGCCUUAAAACAAUUGGCAGCCGGCGUAUUGAUUUCGGAGCGCAGUACAUCUCGCGCUUUGCACUCACAACGACGACGUCCAAAAGUACAUUUUUACACUCUUGACCUCGGAUCAGGUAGGGAUACCCGCUGAACUUAAGCAUAUCAAUAA